rnacentral:rRNA from 1 species
UACGGGGGGAGCAAGCGUUGUUCGGAUUUACUGGGCGUAAAGGGCGCGUAGGCGGCGCAACAAGUCACUUGUGAAAUCUCCGGGCUUAACCCGGAGCGGCCAAGUGAUACUGUCGUGCUAGAGUGCGGAAGGGGCUACUGGAAUUCUCGGUGUAGCGGUGAAAUGCGUAGAUAUCGGGAGGAACACCAGCGGCGAAGGCGGCUUUCUGGACCAAUACUGACGCUGAGACGCGAAAGCGUGGGGAGCAAACAGG